AUGCACGCUGGCGGCGUGCCUCAUCCAUGCAAGUCGAGCGAACAGACGAGGAGCUUGCUCCUCUGACGUUAGCGGCGGACGGGUGAGUAACACGUGGAUAACCUACCUAUAAGACUGGGAUAACUUCGGGAAACCGGAGCUAAUACCGGAUAAUAUAUUGAACCGCAUGGUUCAAUAGUGAAAGACGGUUUUGCUGUCACUUAUAGAUGGAUCCGCGCCGCAUUAGCUAGUUGGUAAGGUAACGGCUUACCAAGGCAACGAUGCGUAGCCGACCUGAGAGGGUGAUCGGCCACACUGGAACUGAGACACGGUCCAGACUCCUACGGGAGGCAGCAGUAGGGAAUCUUCCGCAAUGGGCGAAAGCCUGACGGAGCAACGCCGCGUGAGUGAUGAAGGUCUUCGGAUCGUAAAACUCUGUUAUUAGGGAAGAACAAAUGUGUAAGUAACUAUGCACGUCUUGACGGCACCUAAUCAGAAAGCCACGGCUAACUACGUG
rnacentral:rRNA from 1 species